rnacentral:misc_RNA from 1 species
GAUGAAGAACGCAGCGAAAUGCGAUAAGUAAUGUGAAUUGCAGAAUUCAGUGAAUCAUCGAAUCUUUGAACGCACAUUGCGCCCGCCAGUAUUCUGGCGGGCAUGCCUGUCCGAGCGUCAUUUCAACCCUCGAACCCCUCCGGGGGGUCGGCGUUGGGGAUCGGCCCUUUACGGGGCCGGCCCCGAAAUACAGUGGCGGUCUCGCCGCAGCCUCUCCUGCGCAGUAGUUUGCACACUCGCAUCGGGAGCGCGGCGCGUCCACAGCCGUUAAACACCCCAAACUUCUGAAAUGUUGACCUCGGAUCAGGUAGGAAUACCCGCUGAACUUAAGCAUAUCAAUAACGGAGGA